UAUCUCUGUAGAGUCUGCAUAUCAAUAAGCGGAGGAAAAGAAACUAACUAGGGAUUCCCUUAGUAACGGCGAGUGAAGCGGGAAGAGCUCAAAUUUGAAAUCUUCAAGGUUUUACCUUGACGAAUUGUAGUUUAAAGAAGUGUUUUCUGUUGGAAGUUUUCGGUAAAAGUUCUUUGGAAUAGGACAUCAUAGAGGGUGAGAAUCCCGUAUUUGACCAUUAUUUUCAGCUGUGUGAUACACUUUCAAAGAGUCGGAUUGUUUGGGAAUGCAGUCCAAAAUGGGUGGUAAAUUUCAUCUAAAGCUAAAUAUUGGCGAGAGACCGAUAGCGAACAAGUACCGUGAGGGAAAGAUGAAAAGAACUUUGAAAAGAGAGUUAAACAGUACGUGAAAUUGUCAAAAGGGAAGCGUUUGACACCAGUGUUGUUUUCUCGAAAAUCAAUUAAAAAUGGCUUGAUUUUGUGUUGUAUUGACCUUAAAAGCUUUCUUCACUUUUUUCAUGUCUUUUUUAAUGCACUUUUCGUUUAACAAGUCAACAUCAGUUUCUUUUGUUGUAAAAAGGUCAUUGGAAGGUGGCUUUCUUUUCGGAGAAAGUGUUUAUAGCCUUUGACUUCUGCAAUCGGAGAGACUGAGGUCUGCAGCGUAGAUCCUUCUGGAUUAGAUUCAUUUGUGCUAAGUUACAACCGUUUAUAGACAACUCGUUGACUAUAUUCGAUCCUGUAGCUUACUCGCUUAUGUAAUUUUACCUACGCUUAGGAUGUUGAAGAUGUAGCACAUCAU
rnacentral:rRNA from 1 species